rnacentral:sRNA from 1 species
AAUAAAAUUACUGUUUUCUUUUCCCAGAUUAGUUUCGAAAAUGUCGCAUACAGCUUCCAAUACUAAUCAUCAUCAUAGGAGUCAUUCGAGAAAACUGUCUCAACUAAACAGCCAAUUGUUUAGGGAAACAGCCCACUCUGGUUUGCAGAGUUUAAUAGAGGACAACGUUGCAGAGGAAGAUAAAAUCCACAGAAAAGGGGAAAAAGAAUCAGCUAUAUUUGAAAUAGUUCCUAGUUUGGAACUUUUCCUACCACGUUUGAUGUUUAGAAUUGGAAUCAUUGCAAAGUCCAUCAAGGAAAAGGUCCUUACAAUUUUACAUCAUUUGAUAAUGUGUAUAUGUCAUUUCUUCUGGAUUGUAAACACAAAACUCGCCUAUGUGUCAGAGUGGAAAACUGACAUCCGUAUUGCAAGCUGCCGUCAUCGGCAUUGGAUGGCUUUCUCAACUUCUGGAGAUUUGACCUACUUUAGUCGAAGUGUAUUCGAUGCAAUAUGGCUUGUAUUUUUGGCAAUGUUGGGCAUUAUUCUAACGUUGUAUGAGUUGGUUAUUAACAUUAUACUUACAUUAAAUAGAUAUGUAUAUUUGGGUCUACGUGCUAGCCUUCUAAACAUUUUUAUAAUUUUUUAAUUUUAUUGAAUUUAUCAAUAAAUUUUGUUAAGUUUCGCUGCUA